CCCCUAGAUGUUCUGGGCCGCACGCGCGCUACACUGAACAGUUCAACAAGUCUUAACCUUGGCCGAUAGGUCUGGGUAAUCUUUGAACGCUGUUCGUGAUUGGGAUAGACCUUUGCAAUUAUGGGUCUUCAACGAGGAAUUCCUAGUAAACGCAAGUCAUCAGCUUGCAUUGAUUACGUCCCUGCCCUUUGUACACACCGCCCGUCGCACCUACCGAUUGAAUGGUCCGGUGAAAUCCUCGGAUCGAGCCGCGGGGCAACUCCGGUUCGAGAAGUUGAUUAAACCUUACCAUUUAGAGGAAGGUGAAGUCGUAACA
rnacentral:rRNA from 1 species